GAUGAACGCUGGCGGCGUGCCUAAAACAUGCAAGUCGAGCGGCAGCGAGUUCCUCGCUAAUGUUCGGAUUUGUUUACCAAUGAUGCAAGUAAUUUAGUCAGAGUAACAAAGUAACGACUAGUUGUUUAAGUUAAAAGGUAGAUUUAAUAUUCCGGAUAUGAGCGAGGAAUGUCGGCGAGCGGCGGACGGCUGAGUAGCGCGUAGGAACAUACCCCAAAGUGAGGCAUAACCGCCCGAAAGGGUGGCUAAUACCGCAUAUUGUCUUCGGAUGAAAGCUUUUAGCGCUUUGGGAAUGGCCUGCGUUUGAUUAGCUAGUUGGUGAGGUAAGGGCUUACCAAGGCGAUGAUCAAUAGCUGGUUUGAGAGAAUGAUCAGCCAGACUGGAACUGAGACACGGUCCAGACUCCUACGGGAGGCAGCAGUUGGGAAUUUUCCACAAUGGGCGAAAGCCUGAUGGAGCAACGCCGCGUGCAGGAAGAAUGCCUUCGGGUUGUAACG
rnacentral:rRNA from 1 species